UAGAUUGAAGCCAGUAGUAGGGUGUUUAGCUGUUAACUAAAGUUUUGUGGGUUUAAGUCCUACCGAUCUAG
rnacentral:tRNA from 1 species